rnacentral:misc_RNA from 1 species
AACCUAGCACACCUGCGGUGUGUACCUGCGGAGGGAUCAUUACCGAGUUAUACAACUCAUCAACCCUGUGAACAUACCUAUAACGUUGCCUCGGCGGGAACAGACGGCCCCGUAACACGGGCCGCCCCCGCCAGAGGACCCCCUAACUCUGUUUCUAUAAUGUUUCUUCUGAGUAAACAAGCAAAUAAAUUAAAACUUUUAACAAUGGAUCU